GUGCAGAGAUUCUAUUAGAACUGCAACAGCCCAUGAAGGUCACCGGCUCCAAGCUCCUGGUUUUACAGGGAGCAAACUGGAAAUGAAGUGACGUGGCCAAGGCAGCAAGCAAUUCAACAGACUCAGGCCGAUGUCAAAACAGGAAAUGUGUGACUUGAGACAGUAAGCUGAGAAGACAGAAGGAAAAGGCAGCUGCCAGAGGCUCCGACCCCAUACUCUGUCUCCCUUGACUCCCCAGCAAAAUCAAUCCGCAGACGGGGGGAGGGGCAUGCUGUCUGCUGUAACCUUCCACGACUCCUGCCCUGUGCCUACACCAAUGCCACCAGCUGGACAGAUGCCCCAGCCUGCUCUCCCCUCGGCAGCUUCCCUGGGCCUCUCCUGCCACUGCCUAGAGGGCUGCUUCCCCCAUCUCAGCCACCACAGGACCCAGGCAGCACCCGACAGGAGACGAUGAAGCACCCCAAACACGCACACAAGAAGAUGGCAAAAGCUUGGUGGACAACGGAAUUCAAGAAAAGAAAUGACGAGAGAUGAUGGCUCGCCCGCCUGCACAGAACACACUGCGAACACCACACCCCAGGCUCUCGAUGGGCCGGCUUACGUGUCAUAGGUGUAGAAGGCUUGUUCGAACCGGUGGCAGGAACGAGGGG